rnacentral:siRNA from 1 species
UGCUACUUCUUGGUUGUCGGCACC